UCGAGCGGUACGUAAAGAACAUGCUUCUCUGCUGACUUUCGGAGCCCGGCUGAGUAAUACUUGGUAACUUGCGUUUAGGAGGCCCUCUACCACGGGAAACUGUGGCUAAUACCGCAUAAUGACUACGGACCACUCUAGGGGAUCUUCGGACCUUACACCUAAAGAUGGUGCCAAGCGAGAUUACCUAGUUGGUGGGGUAAAGGCUCGACGAGGCGACUAUCUCUAGCUGUUCUGAGAGGAUGAUCUGACACGCUGAUCCUGAAACACGGACCUGACUCCUACGGCAGACUCCUACGGGAAAUAUUGCUGAAUGAUAUUGACCCUGAUGCAACCCUGCGACGCGUGUGAGCAACGCGUUCGAGUUGUGACGUCCUUUCAGAGAGGACUAACGUCAUAAAAUAAUAACUCUUGCGGAUUGACAUUAACCCCCGAAUAACUACCGGCUAACUCCCUGCCAACUACCUAGGUAAUAAGGAUGGUGCAAGCGCUCUGCGCAAUUACUGAGCGUAGAGCGUACUGAGGCUGCUUGGUAAGCGGGAUUGGAUCGCCCCGUGCUCACACUGGAAAUGACAUUUUGAGCUGACAGGAUAGAAUUCUGAAAUUCCUGGUGUAAUUUCCUGUUGCGCGGAGAUUUGCAUAAAUAUAGGUGGCAAUAGCGACUCUCUGGACUGUCACUGACGCUGAAGCUGACGCUGAUGUACAGCAGCGUGGAUUAGCAUACCCUGUUAGAUCCCCUGGUAGUCGACGACUGCUAUGAGGUGAGCUAGAUGUGCUUCUUAU
rnacentral:rRNA from 1 species